rnacentral:rRNA from 1 species
GACGAACGCUGGCGGCGUGCUUAACACAUGCAAGUCGAACGGAAAGGCCUGCUUUCCCUUGUGGAUUGCGGGUGCUCGAGUGGCGAACGGGUGAGUAACACGUGAGUGAUCUGCCCCCAACUUGGGUAUAAGCCUGGGAAACUGGGUCUAAUUCCCGAUAGGACUGCAGGGUGGUGCCUGUGGUGGAAAACGAUUUUCUAGUGGUUGGGGAUGAGCUCGCGGCCUAUCAGCUUGUUGGUGGGGUAAUGGCCUACCAAUGCGGCGACGGGUAGCCGGCCUGGGAGGGUAGACGGCCACAUUGGGACUGAGAUACGGCCCAGACUCCAACGGGAGGCAGCAGUGGGGAAUAUGGAACAAUGGGCGGAAGCCUGAGGCAGCGACGCCGCGUGGGGGAUGACGGCCUUCGGGUUGUAAACUCCUUUCGACCGCGAGGAAGCCACCUGGUUGGAAGGGUGGUGACGGUAGUGGUAGAAGAAGCACCGGCUAACUACGUG